UAUGCUAUUUCAAAAAUUUGCUCUGGGUUGUCUAUGCUUGUUUUGAUGUCAAACAAAUUUGAGAAAAUGGCCGCGAAACAAAAUUCCAUUGUGGAUGAAGAAAAAAUAGGUCAAACAACAUCUGAUGAUAUUCCUUUGACGUCUUUAGAAGAAAGUCUACUGAGUUUGGAGAAGCUUGACCGAGCUUCCCCAGAUUUAUGGCCUGAACAAAUUCCUGGUGUAUCAGAGUUUGCGCCGAUACAGAAUCCCAACCAAUCGCCUCCGUCGUGGCAUAAGGGGUUAACGAAAGAAGACUACAGCUAUAUGCAACAAUUAAGCUCGCUAUCAACUAGCAGUUUCAUCAUGGAAGUGAAGAAACUUCAUGAUCUCGCCUAUCAGCUGGGUGUAGAGGAGUCCAAAGAAAUGACUCGGGGAAUGUAUUUAAACAUAUUCGAGAGGAAAAACCGAUAGCAGUCAUAUAUCUUACUAAUUCUUAUUGCAAUAAGAAUACUACUACUACUUUGUACCCUUGUAUGUGAUAACCAAUAGAUGUAUAUUAUUAAAUAAUCUUAUUAGCCUGCUAUUAAACUACAGCUUAAGCUAUAGUUUAUAUUAAAGUUGGGCAGGUGGAGAUGGCACAAAUAUAUUUUUGCCUCUUUUUUUUUCUCUCCUCUGGCUUUACAAAGAUUAGCCAAUGUCAAGUUUGUAGUUAUUUGUAACAAGUUAUCUAAGCUAUACAAGUAUAGACCCCGUCUGUGCCGGCGCUCGCCGACAUACGCACGGCACCCCCUUAGAGCGCUUUCCAGUCAGUUUUAACAAAAAACCACUCCAAAAAGGCAGAGCACACCCGCCGGCUAACACCAACACAGACGAAGUCUCUUUUUGCCUCUUUCAUAGAAUAAUUAUUUACUGACGUUGAUUCUGUUGUAUUUCCCUAAACUAAAAUAAAAACUAAAAUUUAGAGUAUCUGCAUCGUUUUCUUUUUAAUACUGCUAAAAAAGGACAAUGAAAGAAAAAUGAAUUUUAGAUUAAGACUCCAAAUUUUAGUGUACUCUACAAAUUUAAACAAUAGACUCACAACUAACACCUAUGGUCAUGAGGUUUGGCAGUCCUAAAUUAAAUUAGGUUUGUAUGUCCUUUUCUUAUCACAUUGGUAAAAGGAGGAUGCAAAUACUCUAAAUAUUAGUUGCACUUAGAAUCAGUACCAUUAUUAUCAUUUGUCUGUUUAUGGAAAAUAAUAUGUGUUUGUACUGUCUCUACCUCUAAAAGUUUUGCUUACAGCAUACUUGAAAAAGUAACUUUGUUGCUGUCGGCAUUUAGUGCUGUAGUAGAAUGAUUUAUAAGAAUUAUAAUUUAGCCCUGUUAAACAACAAACUCUGUACUAUGCACUAGGUGGAUCAUUCCAAACAAAACUUGUUCUAAGAAGCUGUCAAUAUUAGUUUGAUGCUGGACAUCAAGCAAAAAUGAUUUACAUUUUUAGUUAUUUAGAAUAAAUCUUAAUUUUCUUUCUUCUGAAAAACUAUAAAACUGGCCAAGUGCGAGACAGACUUGCGCAUCGAAGGUUCUGUACUCGAACAUUUUGCACUAUAAGUCAAAAACUAUUAUGCAUAAAAAUCUGUUUUAGAAUAUUCAGGUAAACCCCUUGCAUAUGAUACCCCACUUGGCAUAGUUAUCUUACUUUGAAAAUUGAAACACAUUU